GGGGCCCGCACAAGCGGCGGAGCAUGCGGAUUAAUUCGAUGCAACGCGAAGAACCUUACCAAGGCUUGACAUGGACCGGACCGGGCUGGAAACAGUCCUUCCCCUUUGGGGCCGGUUCACAGGUGGUGCAUGGUUGUCGUCAGCUCGUGUCGUGAGAUGUUGGGUUAAGUCCCGCAACGAGCGCAACCCUCGUUCCAUGUUGCCAGCGCGUAAUGGCGGGGACUCAUGGGAGACUGCCGGGGUCAACUCGGAGGAAGGUGGGGACGACGUCAAAUCAUCAUGCCCCUUAUGUCUUGGGCUUCACGCAUGCUACAAUGGCCGGUACAAAGGGUUGCGAUACUGUGAGGUGGAGCUAAUCCCAAAAAGCCGGUCUCAGUUCGGAUUGGGGUCUGCAACUCGACCCCAUGAAGUCGGAGUCGCUAGUAACCGCAGAUCAGCAACGCUGCGGUGAAUACGUUCCCGGGCCUUGUACACACCGCCCGUCAAGUCACGAAAGUUGGUAACACCCGAAGCCGGUGGCCUAACCCCUUGUGGGAGGGAGCUGUCGAAGGUGGGACUGGCGAUUGGGACUAAGUCGUAACAAGGUAACCGUAAGGGC
rnacentral:rRNA from 1 species